rnacentral:rRNA from 1 species
GAUCAUGGCUCAGGACGAACGCUGGCGGCGCGCCUAACACAUGCAAGUCGAACGAGAGAGAAGGAGCUUGCUUCUUCGAUCGAGUGGCGAACGGGUGAGUAACGCGCGAGGAACCUGCCUCAAAGAGGGGGACAACAGUCGGAAACGACUGCUAAUACCGCAUAAGCCCACGGGUCGGCAUCGACCUGAGGGAAAAGGAGUGAUCCGCUUUGAGAUGGCCUCGCGUCCGAUUAG